rnacentral:rRNA from 1 species
CCUACGGGAGGCAGCAGUGAGGAAUAUUGGUCAAUGGUCGGGAGACUGAACCAGCCAAGCCGCGUGAGGGAUGAAGGUACAGAGUAUCGUAAACCUCUUUUGUCAGGGAACAAAGGCGGGGACGUGUCCCCGGAUGAGUGUACCUGAAGAAAAAGCAUCGGCUAACUCCGUGCCAGCAGCCGCGGUAAUACGGAGGAUGCGAGCGUUAUCCGGAUUUAUGGGGUUUAAAGGGUGCGCAGGCGGUCUGUUAAGUCAGCGGUCAAAGCCCGGGGCUCAACCCCGGCCCGCCGUUGAAACUGGCAGUCUCGAGUCGGAGAGAAGUAUGCGGAAUGCGCGGUGUAGCGGUGAAAUGCAUAGAUAUCGCGCAGAACUCCGAUUGCGAAGGCAGCAUGCCGGCUCCACACUGACGCUGAGGCACGAAAGCGUGGGUAUCGAACAGGAUUAGAUACCCUUGUAGUC